rnacentral:lncRNA from 1 species
UGCUGCAAUAAAAAAUAAAUAAAUAGAUAAAUUAGACUUCUGGACUCCUACUUAAAAUUGACAUUGUACAUUUAUAAAAGUUGAAUGGUUUUGAAUUUUUAUAGAACAAUUUCUCUUGGUACAUGUGUAACAAAGAAAGAUUUUCAUGACAAAAAAAAUUAAUUCAAUUAAUAUUUUGCAUCUUCAAAUACAUUAUCGUAAUACAGUUAAAAUCUGCAUGACAUAUAAUUUAAAAUAAUAAAUGCUUGGCAUGUAAAUGAGUAUAAGUCCAUCCUCAAAAUAAUGCAUAGAGAUUAACAGCCACAAUUUCUUAAAAAGAUGCUUUACAUUACAUAAGAUACUCAUAAGAUUAGAAAUUGUCAGAUUUUUGGAAAUUAUUUUCUUUGUUCAGUUUAAAAAAAAUAAACUAGAGGGUCCAAGGACCCUGUGUCGCUCACCUGAUAUUUUUAUUUACAAUGAUGCAUGAUAAAUGCAAC